CCAGGUCUGCUAGAGAAUCCAGUACAUCAUGUCAUAAAUGUUUAUCAGUGGAUCUUAAUAGGAUGUGUUAGCCAUCCCACAGCAGCAAGUAUGAUUUUGAUAUGAUCGCAUUUCAAAUUAACACAUUUUGAUGUUCCGCUUUAAAAGGCAUGCAGAGCCUCCUUUGGUUCCAAAACACGGGUAUCAUUGUGAAAUCCCACUUAUGUCUAUUUGCGGGUUUGUUCAGUCAGAACACAGCAUACUGUUUGGAUGAUUUGAGGGCACGAGGGGCUUAAAUGUGUAGGUUAUACAUUUUUCCAGUGUCCUGACCUUUCUAUUUCCUUACUAGCAAUUUCGGAAUCAGGGCGCUGAUCGACCUAUAUAGGGCUCUGGUAAAACGUAGUGCACUAUAUAGGGAAUAGGGUUCCAUUUCGGACAUGGACCAGGUCCCAGGUAAUGGAGGGGUCAAAUCUUGCACCAGUAACAAAGUGGACUUGAUAUGUGUGAAAGAUUUAGUGCAGAUCAUUUAGAGUUAUCACCUGUUCCCCUUUGUCAGCAGGUAGAUCAAUGUCUCAUCCCUUACUAUGUCCUUGAUUCAAGUUUGAUGGCACAAAAGAGAGAGGAAAAUUCUGACUAGAUGGUGGUCUGACUGUAUGACCUCUCCUGUUCUGGCACACAGUAACUUAAUUGCCGCCUGUGGAAACGGAUGUCUCUACACCUUUCAUUAUGCAAGGCUAGGCUGCAAGAUCCAACGCUCAUACUCUGCAGUAGUUUACAAAAGAAUGUCAAUUUCAAUGCACAACAAGACAGGUUGAUUAUUUUGGAUUAGCAUCUGAACACUGGAGAAAAAAGUUGAUUUUCCUGGGGCACAAAAAAACACUUAAUUUUGAUUUCAACUUGUUCAACAACAAUUGGAACAGGAACUUGAUAGGAAAAUGCUUUAAUGUUGUUGACAAAAUGUGCUACUAAAUAUAUGUACUGUGGGAUAUGGUGGUGUGUUGCUGUGAUUAGCAUUUCAAUGAGCCUUGUUUGAAUACUCACAUUGAGAGCUUUGAACAGGAG
rnacentral:lncRNA from 1 species